rnacentral:rRNA from 1 species
CCUACGGGAGGCAGCAGUAGGGAAUCUUCGGCAAUGGACGAAAGUCUGACCGAGCAACGCCGCGUGAGUGAAGAAGGCUCUCGGAUCGUAAAACUUCGUUGGUAGAGAAGAACGUUGGUGAGAGUGGAAAGCUCAUCAAGUGACGGUAACUACCCAGAAAGGGACGGCUAACUACGUGCCAGCAGCUGCGGUAAUACGUAGGUCCCGAGCGUUGUCCGGAUUUAUUGGGGGAAAAGCGAGCGCAGGUGGUUUAUUAAGUCUGGUGUAAAAGGCAGGGGCUCAACCAUUGUAUGCAUUGGAAACUGGUAGACUUGAGUGCAGGAGAGGUGAGUGGAAUUCCAGGUGUAGCGGUGAAAUGCGUAGAUAUAUGGAGGAACACCGGUGGCGAAGGCAGCACUCUGGCCUGUAACUGACGCUGAGGCUCGAAAGCGUGGGGAGCGAACAGGAUUAGAUACCCGAGUAGUC